GUACUGCUGUGGAGUCCCAGAAUUGGACGAAACGUACUUCCAGUGC
rfam:Schistosoma mansoni, Puerto Rico, WGS project CABG01000000 data, contig: 0080